rnacentral:rRNA from 1 species
AUACGUAGGGUGCGAGCGUUGUCCGGAAUUACUGGGCGUAAAAAGCUCGUAGGUGGUUUGUCGCGUCGUCUGUGAAAUUCCGGGGCUUGACUCCGGGCGUGCAGGCGAUACGGGCAUAACUUGAGUACUGUAGGGGAGACUGGAAUUCCUGGUGUAGCGGUGAAAUGCGCAGAUAUCAGGAGGAACACCGGUGGCGAAGGCGGGUCUCUGGGCAGUAACUGACGCUGAGGAGCGAAAGCAUGGGUAGCGAACAGGAUUAGAUACCCUGGUAGUCCAUGCCGUAAACGGUGGGCGCUAGGUGUAGGGGUCUUCCACGACUUCUGUGCCGUAGCUAACGCAUUAAGCGCCCCGCCUGGGGAGUACGGCCGCAAGGCUAAAACUCAAAGGAAUUGACGGGG